ACAGCUCUAGUUGCUGGAAAGUUCAAGAUCAAGGUCCAGCAGGAUUCAGUUUCUGGAGAGCUGAAGUUGCAGGGCAAGCAAAUGCUCUGAGUUCCAAAGAGUGACAAGCUCUGUGAGGAGAAACAGUACACACAAAUUUUCACCUUUGGCAAGACAUGAGAGGAUGAGAUGGUCACCGUAGAAGUGGGUAGAAUCCAAAGAUAGUCUGAGAGCAAUCAAAGGUUGUGGUGAGGAACAUGGAUGUUGAAAUGGUGGAAACAUGGGUAUGACAGCCGAUUCUGCCCCUCACUAGCUCUGUAAUUUGCGUCCAGACUUUUCCCCAGACUCCCUCCCAGCUAGCUGUGGUGCACUAGCCCCCUUCAGUCUGUGUUCACACCGCCAGUCCCCUCUCUGGGAUCCAACCGAAGCCGAAGCCUCAGCUCCCAGCCCCCGCCCAUCCCAGCGGACGAGCAGACAAGCCUCUCGGGCUGGUGAGUGCUGGUCAGCACCAAUCUUCUGUGUGGGAAUCUCUCCGCUUUGCCCUCUGCACCCCUGUUGCUGCACUCUCCUCCAUGGCUCUGAAGCUUCGCCCCCACCACCCACCCAUUUCCACCAGUGAAGGGGCUCCCUAGUGUGUGGAAACUUUUCCUCCUUCACAGCUCCCUCCCAGAGGUGCAGGUCCCAUCCAUAUUCUUUUGUCUCUGUUUCUUCUUUUUUCUUUUGCCCUACCCAGGUAAGUGGGGAGUAUCUUGCCUUUUGGGAAGUGUGAGGUCUUCUGCCAGCAUUCAGUAGGUGUUCUGUAGGAGUUGUUCCACAUGUAGAUGUAUUUCUGAUGUAUUUGCUGGGAGGAGGGUGAUCUCCAUGUCUUAUUCCUCUGCCAUCUUGAAGUUCUCCCCGGUCCUGAUAUUUUUGAGAGUAACGGUCACUAGUUUUUUUAAUUCAUAAGUUAUAGAUUGUUUAAUGUUCUUGUAAUCUGUCUCAAAGAAAGAUAUAGAGAUGAUUCUUUUUAUAAAUAAUUAUUUGCUUCUGUUAAGUACAAUUAAGGAUCAUAGAGUUAAAGGCAGGCAAAUUGGUGAAACAUCAUUCAAAACUCACUCAUAUUUGCAAGUUACACUGAAAUAUUUAAAGGCUUUCUCUUAGUAUCUUCCAGAUAACUAAAAAUUAUUUUUCUUAUGCCAUACUCAGACUUUCAUACUUAUAUUGAAAUGUCAGCAAUCCUAAUCAUGAGAAAUUUAAAUGGAACUUUCAAACAAAAAGAGAGCUUAGAAAUCCAAUUGAACACAUUUAAAUGAAUAAAUGGAGGUGCAAAAGGCCAAAGACUUGUCAAGAUCACACAUAGUUAGUGGAAGAUAUCUGAUUCAAACAUAAGUCACUAAAAUCCUAGCAUUGUUCUUUCUCGCCAAGCUUCCUAUUGAACAAUGAAGUGUCUCUUAACCUUAGAAUAUAUUUCACACACAAGAAAGCAUGAAGACAUAAGGAGGAAGACAACUCCAAUGGAAACUCCUAGCUAUUAAAGCACUGGUUUAUGAAUUUCGCUAGGAUGAAAAUACUCAACACAAGUAAGAAAUAUAUAGUCGUAAAAUCACAGAUAUUUCUAACUCUAAAUAAAAUACGUUUUAAAGAAUCUUAAAUCCUGUUUCUUAAUAUUUAACAGACUCUUUUCAAAGUUAACUAAACUUAAAAUUAGAUAGGUCAGCAUUCUAUUUCUUUGCAUGCCUCUCUCCUUUUGAAAUACAAAUUAUAAAAAUCUUUCCCAUGACCUGAAAUACAACUCAAAUGUUGUCUUGUGUUAAAUAUAACUCCAUAAUUAUGCACUAUCUAUAGUGCUCAUGUGUUGUACAGUAUGUAUUUUUUUUCAAGUCAACAAUUCUCCAUUGAAAGGAAAAUAUCUCUUAUUCUGGGGCUUGUACUGAGGAAAAAGCAUUUUAGAAAAAUUAUUUUUCCCCACAAUAGUUCCACAAUUUUGCCUGACUACUAUUUUGGCUUAAACUUGGAACCACAAGAUUAAAGUCUAAUGUUUAUAGUCUUUUCAUUUUAUUUCUCUGGACUGCCUAUAAUCCCUUCUAAUCAUUUCAGCUAUGGCAAUUUUACCUACUGCGAUAAUGCCUGCUCCAACAUACAGGUUUUAUGUGUGUAGCUAUGUUAUUCCACUGGUUUGGCAUGUUUGUGUCACAUUAUCAAGUCUGAGUUUUCUCAGUGGGCCUUCUUUGAGCUUUGUAGUCAUUAUUUUGAAGUACUGCUUCUUGCUGAAAUGUUGGUUCUGUCCGAACAGUCCACUGUAAUCUUGUUCUAUGCAUUAUUAUUCUUCUUUAUCAGACAAAAAUUUUAAAUAUGAAUGAAACAAGCCCCCAUUUGCCUUUGCCUUUCAACUUUAUGUCUAAGAGAAAGUAUAAACAUAGUUCUGUACUAUUAAGUAAUAUUUAUUAUAAAGCCAUACUUUUUAAUAUAAAGAUAUACUAGACAAGACCUAUCAAAUAAGUAAAAGCAUAUUAGAUAUUUCUAAAUCAAAAAUAGGGUAAAAGCUCUUCUAGAAGAAUAUUUAUCAAACCAAGAAACUCAACAAAGUACCUCAGAUUCAACGUAGCACAUAAAAGUAAAAAAUUAAACUGUGAGCAGAAAAACCAUGGAAGCAUCUAAGCUUCAUGUUUCAAUAAAGACCUUGAGAUUUAAAAUACUAAUACAUUUAAAAUACUAAUAGCAACUGCUAUUCAAGAUUGGCUUAUAAAUUCAAAAAAACAUAUUUCACAAGCUACCAGAGCCUAUUACUUCAUUUUGCAAAAUUCAUACAUGAACUGCCACACUUGUAACUUCAGAGAAAUUGUAGAAUGAUUCUGAAGAAAGAGACAGGACUGUCUGAAAAUGGACUAGUGAGGAUUUUCCAGGUUGCUACUCUUUCACUCUUCUCAUGGGAUUCAAAGUGGCUACUGCCCUGACUGAUAUUAAUGUGUCAUUUUCAAGUGCCAUUGUGGCCCACUGCAUCUGCUAUCUUUCCAGGUAAUAGAAUUCUGGAAACCUAGUUCGAUGAGCAUUAGGAAGGCAUGGGAUUAGACUAAAAUACUGAAUGCCUCAGGGACACAUGCUAGGCAGGAAGCUCAAAAUCCAGGAGCUUUAAAGAAGACUAUUUUGGAGUAUCACACAGGUUCAAAAUGUUUUUGAAGUUCCUGACCAGAAGACCCUGGUCAAAUUAUGGGAAAUUAAACAUUGUCAAGAUGAUAAUUGCAAUAAUUUAAAUCUGUAAAAUAGCCUUGAAUGCAAUUAUUAAUAGAAUGACAAUGAAAUAAACGUUUCUCGUAUUCUGUAGAAACCAACCAUCAUCAAAUGAAGAAAUAUAUUCAUAUAAUGCUAAAUGAUCAAUAAUAACUAUGCGGUAGUUUCUCUUAAUCUGCCUCAACUCUUCUGAAUUUGUAUAAAAGAACAUUUCAAAAUCAAAAGUUUUCUUUAAAAUUUUUGUUUUAUAUUGUAGUAUAUAGUUGAUUAACAAACAAUGUUGUAUUAGUUUCAGGUGUACAGGAGAUUAUCAAAGUUAUUUUUAAUGACUGAGCAGCUAAUUAAGCAUUAACAAAGGCCAUUGCCAUUUACAUGACAAAAUCCAGAAGUCCUUCAGGACUAAUUAGGUGACAUCAACCCUCAAUUCUCCCUAAUGAGGCCUUUGUAAGUCUUAGAACUAUUUAACUUUUUAAACUUGAAAGCUAUAUAGAUCUGUCAGAGUUUGUCCUUUUAAAUUGAAAUAAUAUUUUAUAUUUUGCCUUUAAAGUGUUAAGAAAAGUCUCUGACGUUAAAAACUCAGUGUCAGUGUAAGUUAAUAAGGAACUUUAUGAAAGCCGCUAAAGCAGUUCUCCAACUCAUAGAAGAUAAGAAUAGCCUACAAAGAUUCAAGGGAAUGUUUCAAUAAUUAAUUCUUUUAUUUGGUACCUUUUUAAUUAUUUAACUCCAAAAAUCCAAGUCUAUUUCUAGACCCCAUUCAUUCAACUACAUGUUUUUCAUCCUGUUUUUACAAAGUGACUCAACCUCUAUUUAUUUUUUUAAAUGAUUAUAACAUACGUGGAAAUGUGGUCACCUGUGAUUCAUCCUGUGCCUGUAUGGCACUGACCAUGUGGAAGUGAAUCAGAGGUUGGACUCUAUUCUCAUCAUGACUGAUCAACUUGGUAGUAUGUUCAUUUUCACGCUGAAACAAGCAAUGUGAAAUCAGAGAACAAUGUUAAGGAAUAAACAUUUGUUUUGAAUCCCUUAAUCAGAAAAAGCUAAAAUUUCAUAAUAACAAGUAUGAAUGUUUCACUUUAAGAGCUAAAGCCACAUCUACAUAUGGGAUUUGUUGUGAAAGACUUUCAAUUUUCUCUCUGAAUGCAUUUGUGUGGACAAGACAAAACAUUAGGUCAUCUCUGAAGAGAAGUAAUUGAAAAGGUUCUAUGCUCAGGCCCAUGUUACCAAAGGCAACUAAAUCUUGAAUGCUUUGAAUUUGUUAUGACCAAUGUAUAGAUUAUAAUGCUAUACAUUGACUGGGCAACAUUUAAUAUUUUAAAUUUUGAGAAACUGACCUUUCAUAUACUUUUUCUCUUCAUUCCCCCUCAUGAAAAUCAUAGUUAUCAUUAAGAAUUAACCAAGUUAUAAUUUUAAGAAAUUUUAAAAAUACUUAUAGAUACUAUUCUCAGAUGCAUACUUUAGAAAGGAAAAUUACUUCUUUAAACCAAGAUUUCAAGCUUUAAAAAGUCACAGAAGUUUAUCAUGUACCUUAUUUUUGCAAUAUCUCCACCUGAAAAGUGAAGAUAUAUAUAUACUCAUUGUGUCCAAAUCAAUUAAAACUGGUUUUAGUUUUUUAAACAUAAUUAUUUAGCAUUUGAAGUUGCUAAAGAUUAUGUACAAUGGAUAUUUUUUAAUCUCAUAUAGUUUGUGAUCUUUAGUCUUGUGUGCUAAAAUAUCCAAUUGUUACCAGUUGCCUUUUGUACACUAAGAUUGCAUAAAGUGUCUCAUUUGAUUUAAAUUACAGAAAAUGUUUUCAACAUCUAUGUUUUCUGUGUCUCCUUUUUACAAUGUUUUCAACAUCUAUGUUUUCUGUGCCUCCCUUUUACAAUACUAACCUGAAUAAAUGCUAUGCCCCUUUCCUUAGAGGAGAAUAUGAUUUGGUAUCUAAAAGAAAAUUCAAUACAGGCUAGCAUACAAUCAACUUUUAUUUCCUAAGUAAAAAUUUAGUAAAAAAUCAGUAUUAAAGGUUUUUCUUUUGAAACCCUAAAGGCAAUAAUGGCAUCAAUGUAGGUAUAAGGUAGUACUGGUUUAUUUUCAUAUUUAGGUGCUAAAUGGUAAAAUUUGGAGGGGAAAUACCAAAGAGAAGCAGCUAGGAAUGGUCCUGCUUUGUGAUUUGGCUUGCAUGGUGCAAGGCCCCCAUAAGCACAGGAAGACAAUAUAGCUAGCACUAUAAAAUACAGAGAGGAAAACUUAAACACUGGACAGUAGUUGAUAAAUCUAGUAAAUACUAACAUCACUAUUAACAUAGUAGCAAUCCAUACUCACUUCUCCCCAACUUUCACCACACUUCCAGGUCAGAAGAACAAAUAGAACUUGUCUGUGUCUUCAGAGUGAAUAGUGAGCUACAACUGUCUCAACAAGUUUGAAGCAGUGUAAAUUAUCAGGACCCAAAAGAGAAUAAGAAAAUAAGAACUUGAUUUUGAUUUUUAAAAAGGAAAAAUGUAUAAAAUAAAGCACAGGCAAGACUCAGGAAGCAGUUCAGAGGCAGAACUUUCUGAGACGCCCUAAAGCAAUGGGACACAGCAAGAGGGAUCCUUUAUACUAUGCCCAUGGCUGAGAGCCUGGAUGGGAGAAUGUGUUAGGAUGCUGACUAAAAAAAAUUUCCCAAUAGUUUUUCCAUGUAAACAUGUACCUGCAGGAGUUUUACUUAAAUCUUCUCUUUAAAGAGUAAUAAGAUGGAAGCAGCCCUACCUUAUGUUAAAACAUACUAUAAAGGUACUAUAAUUAAAAGAGUUUGGUGUUGCUAUAAGGACAGAAAUAAUCAAUAAAACAGAAGAAAUACUAUGAAUACUUAAUAUUAAUUUUAAUAAUAUAUUACAUAAUAUAAGGAGGUCAAAUGAACAAGGAAAGAAAAUCACUUUCAAUAAAUGGCUCUGAGACAAUUAGCUAUUUUGGCUACAAAUCACUUUAGAUCAUGUUUUCAUAUAAACCAAAAUAAAUUUCAAGUGAUAAAAACUAUGUUAAGAUAAAAUGCUAGAAUAAAAUAGUGACUUUUUACUAGCCCCUGAAUAAGAAGGACACUCUAAAUUUAAAUUAGUGAGAUAAAUCAUAAAGGAGUAAUAUAUUUGACUUCACAGAAAGGUCAAAUUUCGGUGCACAAAAAAUAGCAAAAACAAAUGUAAAGUGAAUUAAUUCUUUGAAGGGAUUGAUGUAUUGUCAUCCAACACAGAGCAGAUUAAGGAUUCUUCCAAAAAUGACAGUUUCACCUUUUUCAUGUCACCAAACCUUGCUCUCAGCUGCUGGGACAUAAGAGUUCUAGUUCCCUAUUUAUAACUUCCAACUUCUUCUGCUGCUAGAGAAUGUACAAAUAAAAAUAGUAAUGUAGAGAUAAAACUCGAUUAGGUACUAGCAUAAUAUAACAUUUUUAGGAAAAUAUUGUAUAAGCUACUUUUUUAGCUUAUACAGUCAAUUUUCACCAGAUACUGUCUAUUACAAUACAAAUUAUGCAACUGUUGUAACAGUUCACAUCCUCAAGUCAGGAGCCUUGGAAUUCCCAGCAGAAAUCAUUUUAGUUUUCAUUUCUCUUCCUUGGGGAAGAACACCUUUUGUAUUCUCUAUUUUGUAUAUAUAUUUUUUGUUUAUAUAUAUUUGUGUAUAUUUUGUGUAUAUAUAUGUUCAUAAAUAUAUAUGAUAGAGAACUUUUUUUUGAAGAUUUUCUUUUGAUGUGAACCACUUUUUAAAGUCUUUAUUGAAUUUGUUACAACAUAGCUUCUGUUUUAUGUUUUGGUUUUUUGGCUGCCAGGCAUGUGGGAUCUUAGCUCCCUGACCAGGGAUUGAACCUGUACCCCCUGCAUUGGAAGAUGAAAUCUUAACCACUGGACCACCAGGGAAGUCCCUGAAAGGGAAUUUUUUCAUUUAAGGGAAAAAUUCUUUCUUUAACUAUAUAAGGAUUUUAUAAUUAGGGAAAAAUUGUUCUUCUUGCAUACAAUUUUGUCACAUGAAAUCAAAUUAAGGGUGUCCACCUGACAUUGUUUUAUAAAGCCAUGCAAAUUUAAAACAUGUUAGAUCGAAGAUAAUCAAAGCACUCUUCAUAAUAAAUGAUGCUUUGCUUUUACUUUUACCUGGAUUUCAAGUCCAGAGUGUAAAUUAGACUUCAGGUUUAUGAAACAGCUUGAUUAGCAACCAUUCUAGGAAUUCAUGAAUCUAUAAUAAGAAUAAUCACUAAUCAAGUAUGCAACUAUGUGGCAGGCACAGUGCUUAAGAGUUAACUGAACUUUAAUCUUUACCGUAAUCACAUGAAUUAAGGACUUUCAUUAUUAGCAUUAUAGGGAAAAAUAUCUAAAUAAAGAUAUAAAUUUAUAGAUUUAGUCUAAAUAUUGGGAUCAAAUUUUGGAGGACACUUAAAAACCAUUCAGUUGCAGGAAAAUUAUCCAUCAUUUGGGUUUUUGUGAUUAUUGUUUUAUUCAAUUACUAGAAAAUUUUCUACGAAUAUAUGAUGUUUAGUUAUUAAUUAUUACUCUUUCACUCAUAGAACUUUGAUUUUAAGUGAAGAAAUUCCAUAUGCAAUUUCCUUUCUAGCAUACCACAGUAUCUCACAUAACUUCAUGUAGGUAAAAACAGCAGGAUAUUAGCCCUUUAGAAAUAAAGAUUUGUUUUCAUUUAGGAAAACAAAGUUCUCCUUUUAAUAAAAAGCCCCCCCAAAAGUGAUCCCUAAACAGAAAAAAAUUAUUUUAGAAAUUAUUGUGUAUCUGCAGAAUUAUUUCCCCUACAUAUCUAUCAUCUGAUGCCAGCAUAUUUUUCAGCAGUUACCACCUGUUAGAAUUCAUGUUUUUGGAUGAGUGAUCAAUUAAUUUUUAUCAUGUUGAUUUUCCCCAGCAAGCUAUAGGUUCACCUCAGCUGCAAAAAUUUUCUAAACUGAGCAAAGCCUCCAUAGGAGAAGUCAGGAUAUAAUCUUUCAAACACAGUGUAACUCUGUAGGAGUCUAUUCAGGAAUUUGAGAAAGAACUGUGAGAGAGUAAGUUUGUAGCAUUUACGCUGUUUGCAAACCUGACCUUAAAAAGUGAUUAAAGUCCACAUAUAAAUGACUAUACUUAACUCUUGUAUAGCACUUCUGAUUUACUAAGUUUAGUUAAUUUGCCAAAAUUUAUCCUAGGCUAAAUACAUAUUACUAGCUAUCCUACAAAAGAAAUUAAGUCAGAAGCUUGGAACGAGUUGUUCAAGGGGCACCCUACGUGAGUGCCAAGUUGGUUAUACAGCUUUUAUAGUCUCCUAACCAAAAGUCAAUAAUACUGAGGGUAUCCCUAUAGUCAAAUAUUGAUAACACAUAGAUUUCCCCCAAUAGAUUGGAUUUAUUCCGUGUCUUCUUUCCAAAAGGGAUUGAAGUUGAAUGUUUAAGAGUUUGAACAGACAAUUUGACAUAUGUUUGCAUAACUAUGAUUCCCUCAGAGAAGUCUGAUGAAAAUAAAACCAAAUUUUUGUUAGAUUCUGCAAAGACUUAACCAGUUGCUCCCUAAACUACCAGAAAAUACAAAUCAAAGUGGAACUUGUAUUCCACACAUGACUCAAAGGGUCAUGUCACAUCAGAACUCCAUUGCUCUCCAUUCAUAACAAUCAUGCUACAAAGUAAGUAAAAAUUCUAUCUCCCUCUUACAUAUGUCUUUCAUUUUUCCUCAGCCAAAGGCCCCUCAUUUAUUCCAUUAAUCUAACAUAAAAGCAUUUCCUGCAUUGCAAAAUGAAACUUCAUUACACAAAUGGGUUUACAUUCAGUGGCAGAGAGCUUAUCCUCUAGUUUCCUUUCUGUUAUCCUUCCUUUUAGUAACACUCUUCUCCUCCUCAAGAUAUGAUCACCCAACUAGAGUUCCCAGCAUUCCUUGCAGCCUCAUGUGACCAUGUGAUUUGCCUCUUGCUAAUGGUAAUUAAGCAAGAGUAAUGUGGGCAACUUCAGCCUUCUAUCUUUAAAAGGGAAAAAUCACUUGCCCUCUAUUUCUCUUUCCACAUCUCACAGUAGAUAAAGCAAACAGUGGUGAGCCAGUGUCCACCAAGCAAUUGAAGACAACUUUAGGGAAUAGCAGAGCAACAAUAUAGAAAGAACCCGGGUUCCUAAAUGACUCAGCAGCCUCCCUCUAGUUAGUUACAUUAAACAUCUACUUUGUUUGAGCCACUGUGUUUUAGGAUUUCCUUGUCACAGCCUCUUAUCUGUAUACCCAAAUACAAUUAUUCAAAUUAGAACUCCUUUCAUCUCAUUUCUACUGUUGACACUUUUGUCUGUGUUGAAACAUUGCUGCUGGUGAUAGUUUCACCCAAGUAUGUAGCAAAAGACUAUUAUGGGGUCAGUAUCACCUCUUUUUGGACAAACAUGCUUAUUUUGUACUAUAUACCUGAGCCACUGGGUUUAUACAAACUUGGGGCAUCCAGGCUGCUACCCUUUAGCCCCAUGAUAUUUGUUUUUAAUCAUUUUAUUAUAACAUCAAUGCUGUUUGAAAUUUUUCUUCACUGUGUUCUUGUAAUGAAUCUUAUUUCUGCCUUUUUUAUUAUCAUCAUAGAACAUUUAUUUGUGUGUCUAUUUAUAAUCCAUAAUCUGCAUAUGUAUGACCAAGGACAAUCUGACAAUAGUAUUUAUUUCACUGAUAAUCACCAAAUUUCCUGAUAGAUCCUCCCAAGCUCUCCCAUUGGACUAAUGCUGGAUAUACAAGACCUACAGCAGCAGUGUUACUGCAGGUGUUAGUCCAAGUUACUGUGGCCCCAGUAUACACAUAUUCAUGAUGCAAGCUUUGUUGGUAAUGUUCUACAACGUGGAUUUACUACAAGCAAAAAGAUAGUUAUUCUCUUUAAUCCUUUUUUUUAAGGCAAAUGUUAAAAUCUCAAUGAAAUGAUGCACAACUGUAUUGAAAAAGACUUACAUAGUAUCUGUUAUUUUUCAUCUUUCUUACAGCUAGAAAAACAAAUGCCUAAUGCCUUUCCUUUCAUUUUUGGGCUCACAAAUUAGAGUAUUUUCAAAGAGAAAAGAACCUUAAGAACUUCUUUUCUAGGAGUUUUUAAACUGUGUUCCUGGCACCCUAGGACUCCAGAGCAGUAUCUUAAGGUAUGCCUAAAGAGCGGUUGGUGGAGGAGGCUGAGUGGUAGGGACCAGAGGCUCCCACCCUGCUUCAGAUCAGUUUUCUUUAAUCUUUAAGAUGUUAGGGUUCUGUUUGAGAUUUCAUUUUUUAAAUGUGUUUUCUAAUAUUUGAAAAGUGCUAAUCUAGUCCAAACCAAAUGAGGGAACUAAGAGCUCAAGAGAAUAAGAUUUACUCAUGAAGUAAGAGCAGAUUUGUGGUGAAGUUAAGAUGGGAUCCUAGUCUUUUGACAUCUUGUCCAGAAUUUUUAUACCAAAGCUACAGAGAUGAUUUAAUAAAAUGUGGGCGUUCAACCACACACAGUUAAAGUGACAUAGCUAUUCUGGUAUUCAUGUGACUUAUAGGAGUUUCAACAAUAACUUCAAAUUUCCCUGUAUUUUUCAUCUGGCUUUUAGUUCAGAAUAGUGCUAAAUGUUUUGAUUUCUGUAUCCAGCAAUUAAGAUUAGUAUUAAUAUUUUUCUACUUUAGAAAAAGCAACAUUUUUAAUUUAAAAAAUUAUGACUGCUCUAAAAAUUUUUUUUUAAAGAAGGAAAUUAUGACAUAGCAGAAUGCACAGGACUCUAAUAGGAAACAUGAUUCUAAAUACUGCUCUGCCAUCAAAGAAACAGCUUUGUGCCCUUUCUUUGCCAAUCAUGUCAUCUUGACAGACCUCAAAUUUCUUAGUUUUUAAUGUGAUUAGUCUAUACAGCUUAUAAGGUUUCUUCCAGAUCUAAAAAUCUAGAACUCUCUUUUCUAGGUUAAUCCUGUCCAUCUGCAGAUCAAGCAAUAAAGUGUAUAAUUAUUCAGUGUAUAUCUCUGUGCAUAAUGUAUGUAUGUAUGUUUUAGCAUAUGCCUACAAAUCAAGGAAUCUUCAAGCUUUUAAUUUUAUGGCUCUAUUUUAUGGGUUUUUUCCAUUUUUAAAAAUAUACUGUUAUUUGCAUUCAAUAAAUUCACCCUUUUAAGUGUA